rnacentral:rRNA from 1 species
AUUGAACGCUGGCGGCAUGCCUUACACAUGCAAGUCGAACGGCAGCACGGGAGCAAUCCUGGUGGCGAGUGGCGAACGGGUGAGUAAUAUAUCGGAACGUGCCCGGUCGUGGGGAUAACGUAGCGAAAGCUACGCUAAUACCGCAUACGAUCUAUGGAUGAAAGCGGGGGAUCGCAAGACCUCGCGCGAUUGGAGCGGCCGAUAUCAGAUUAGGUAGUUGGUGAGGUAAAGGCUCACCAAGCCGACGAUCUGUAGCUGGUCUGAGAGGACGACCAGCCACACUGGGACUGAGACACGGCCCAGACUCCUACGGGA